rnacentral:RNase_P_RNA from 2 species
AAAGCAGGCCAGGCAGCCGCGGCUUUCGCGGUUUUGCCGCGAAGGGCGAGGAAAGUCCGGACUCCAAUAGGGCAGGGUGAUGGCUAACGGCCAUCCGUGGCGACACGCGGAACAGGGCAACAGAAAGCAAACCGCCGAUGGCCCGGCGCAAGCCGGGAUCAGGUAAGGGUGAAACGGUGCGGUAAGAGCGCACCGCGGCUGCGGCGACGCAGACCGGCACGGUAACCUCCACCCGGAGCAAUUCCAAGUAGGCAGGCGCGCAUUUUCGGAUGCAGGACGGUGCCCCCGUCUCGUCUGCGGGUAGGAAGCUUGAGCGCGUCAGCAAUGGCGCGCCUAGAGGAAUGGCUGCCACGGAUCGCGCGCUUUCGAGCGAGCGGUCUGCACAAAAUCCGGCUUAUCGGCCCGCUUUGCCA